GACGAACGCUGGCGGCGUGCCUAACACAUGCAAGUCGAACGGAGUCGGCCCCGCAAGGGACUGACUUAGUGGCGAACGGGUGAGUAACGCGUGAGCAACCUGCCUUCCAGUGGGGGACAACAGUUGGAAACGACUGCUAAUACCGCAUAAUGCAUUUUGACCGCAUGAUCGAGAUGCCAAAGAUUUAUUGCUGAAAGAUGGGCUCGCGUCUGAUUAGAUAGUUGGUGAGGUAACGGCCCACCAAGUCGACGAUCAGUAGCCGGACUGAGAGGUUGAACGGCCACAUUGGGACUGAGAUACGGCCCAGACUCCUACGGGAGGCAGCAGUGGGGAAUAUUGGGCAAUGGGGGAAACCCUGACCCAGCAACGCCGCGUGAAGGAAGAAGGCUUUCGGGUUGUAAACUUCUUUUACAAGGGACGAAGAAAGUGACGGUACCUGGAGAAAAAGCCACGGCUAACUACGUG
rnacentral:rRNA from 1 species